CCAUUCUAAGGUCCGGUAAGACGUAUCUACUCUAUAUUGUCAAUUGUUGGACAAAAUCUUGCGAGUUGGGGUAAACUACCGUGACAGUAUAUCAAGGGGUAUACUCCAGGUUGUUCCUAGUCCCAAAACCGGACAUGUCUUUUCGUCCAAUCUUGGAUCUAAAAAACCUGAACAAACUCAUUCCUUAACAACAUUUCAGAAUGGAAACCAUAGCGUCUGUCACCCUUUUCCUUCGAAACUUUGGCAACUUUGGAUCUAAAGGAUGCCUACCUGCAUAUUCCUAUGGAUGUGAAAUCAAGAAAAUACCUGAGGUUUGCUAUAAGGAAAGGGGAAAAGGUCCAUCAUUUCCAAUUCAAAGCCCUUCUAUUCGGGCUAGCUUCAGCACCCAGGAUUUUUACAAAGGUCCUCACACCUGUCACAGCUUUUUUAAGGAUGCAAGGAAUCUGUCAUUUUUUGGUAAAAAAUUGGGCUUCUGAUCCUCUCAUUAGGAGAUUUUUUAAAGCUGUUAGACUC